UGAUGAGAAGUCUCCGGAAUCGCUGUACCACGUUGAUGAUUCCCUUGAACCCUUGUAUAUCUGAUGACUGCGGCUGCAUAGAC
ensembl:snoRNA